UUCAAUCAAUAACGACCACCAGUGAGUCGCCCUUCCCCGCCCCGUCGCGCGACGCUGCACGACAGGGACGCGUAUUCUGUGCCUCGUUCCUCGCAGCGACCCUCCGCCUCUUUCUCCACCUCUUCUUUCUUCCUCCUCUUCCUCCGCCUGCUCCUGCUGCUCCCGCUCCACGUCGCGCGCCACGCCGGCGAUUAGCAUGAGACAGCGCAUUAGGCGUCAUUAAGCAACUGCCACGUGCCCCCCACCCUACGAGCCCCUAUCCACACGUGAGGAUUUGUUCCGGUUUACCAGGUGCACGCUCCGUCCGAUCGGUGUUGGGUGAUCAUGCCCUGGGACUGUUAGGAGAGGCGGAGUGAGAACCUCGUUAAAUGAUGACGAAGUGGUUCUGGGUUGAUACUUUGGAUCUGACGGUAAUUUGACAGGAGUGGUACAAGUAGCGACUGCGCGGAGUAAGAAUACAUCAGUUGUCAACGUUCGUCAACGCAGCCUUCCUUUUGAUUUGCGAGUGCCGUCGCGCGUCUCCAGCGCAGAAUUACAUCGAUUCGUUACACUUACAGAUAGUUGUAAUUUUUAAUCACGU